GAAAUCUCGGACUUGACGAACAAAUAAAAGACACUCUUUUAUACGAUUCUGUUCUCUAUCGACCGAUUUGAUUCUCUCAAUGACCUCCUCGCUAACGAUAGUGGUAUUGCAAAAAGCAUCUUUAAGCUCUUCAAUCUGACCUACAAACAGCACUAGACGUUCUGCCAUAUUCUUGAUUAAAGAAUUGAACUUCUCAGUCGGCUGUGCAUCGCUUAGCAGCCUUUCCAGCUUUUCGUCGGUUCGUUGGGAUUCGACUUGUAAGUCAUGAAACCGUUGUUUAAUUUGCGAGAUAUCAGUGCAGUCAUUGAUGGAUAUGUCCAUUGUACACUCAUUAAAUAAAGAAAGACUAAAACGC